GAAAAAGUUUGUUCUAGUAAGGAAAAUUAUUAUUAAAUUGUUUUACAUGUAAAUUUUUGUUUUUGUUUAUAUUUUCUAAAUGUUAAGUAUUUACAGUGAUUUAUUUUAUUUUAUUAAGUAUUUUUAGAUUCAGCAAUUUUUAUUAAGUAUUGAAUAAACAUGUGCCAGCAUUCGCGGUUAUACAUUAAAUAUAAAUAUUUUUUUUUGUUAAGUAGUUACUUACUUUUUUUUGAUUAUUAGAUAAUUAUUUUUAGGUGAAAUUUUAAUUUUUAUUUUAUUUUAAAUUUUAAGGAUUCUAUAAAGCCUAUAUUUUAGACUAGGAUUAGAUACCCUAUUAUUUUAGGUGUAAAUAUUUUGGCUUGAGUAGUAUUUGUUAAGGUCUUGAAACUUAAAGAAUUUGGCGGUAUUUUAGUCUUUUUAGAGGAAUCUGUUCCAUUAUUGAUAAUCCACAUUGGACCUUACUUAUAUUUAAUAUUUGUAUAUCGCCGUUUAAUUGAAUAUCUUUUUAGAGUAAGAAAUUUUCUUUAUAUUUUAUAAUAUAUUAUUUCAGGUCAAGGUGCAGUUUAUAUAUAAGGGGAAAUGGAUUACAAUAUAUACAUAUAUAUAUAUGAAUUAAUAAUUGGAUAAUUAUUAUGAAGGUGGAUUUAAUAGUAAAUUUUUAAAUAUUAUAGUUUUGGAAAAAGCUCUAUAAUAUGUACACAUCGCCCGUCACUCUCGUUAAUUAAGAUGAGAUAAGUCGUAACAAAGUAGUUGUACUGGAAAGUGUAGCUAGAAUGAU
rnacentral:ncRNA from 1 species